rnacentral:misc_RNA from 1 species
UCCUUUGCUAACUCACCUGCCUACACAGAACGGUGGGGGUGGCGGCGCCCCAGAAACCUCUCAAGAGGGGGACCCGAGAACGCUGGCACCUUCACUAUCGCAGACGACGGCCUACGCCGUUCGCGCGAUGGACAGCGCCACAUGCAUCCCGUCUCGUGUUCUCCACUUACCCGCACCACUGCUGCAGCCACGCGGCUCGAGAUGGGCAUCCGUGCAGCCGUCGCCCGAUCGCGCUAGUCUGCUGCUCUGCGGUCGCCAUGAGUGUCAGCUGCUUUCCGUGUCGUCCUUCGCGCUGCAGGUGCCGCGUGCGGCUGUCUUGGCGCAGCCGUCCAGCAGCAUCAGGGAAGAGGACACGCGUCGCUCGGUGGCGCAGCAGUGGAACGAGCGUGGUUCUGCUCCUGGCAACUCUGCCGUUGGAGGACGGGGACGGUGCAUUGUCCUGCCGCAGCCGCACCGCGACCUCACCUCCUCAUGCUGGCUCUCUGCGGGUCUCGACACAGGCAACGAAGACGACGACGAGGCAGCCGCGAGCGACGACAUUGCCCCUGGUGCGGUGGUAGGACUCGGCGAUGCCGCCUCAGUGGUGACGAUCAUGCGCCCCUCACCCCUCAGCAGAGCAUUAUCGCCUCAUGGCACGGCCGCCAGGUGGCUGCAGGCCACCAUCUUCCUCAAGGACGAGGAGGACGCGGUGUUUGCGGGGGGCACACCCUUGACGUGGAACCACCAGCGCCAUGAUCACCACGGUCGCCUCGGCAAGGCCACGGCGCUCGGGCGGCCGUGCCAGUGGGGGCGUACUCCGCCGUUAGCACCAGCUUGGAAGGCGGUAGAGGCGGUCCUGCCGUGCAGCUAUGUGCCUAGCCACUCCAGCGGUGGGCAGACGGACAUGCACAUCCUCUGCCAGCGCGUGGAUGAGGUUUACGAAGGCAGCGGCGUUGCCGCCGGAGGACGCUCCGCGAGACGACCGUGCAGUGGCGUGUGGUUAGCCUCGGUGCAACGCGAGUCGGCGUGGCGAGUGCCGUUGGCAAUGCCACCCGGAGAAGAAGACGUAAUGGACAGCGGUGGAGAUGGUGCUGCUGCGCGCUCUUUAGCAGAGGCGCGGCACGUCGUGCGGCGAUCACCGCGCUUGUUCGACGUACGCCGGCGCAUGCCGCCUGCCCUCCAACACGCUCCACCGCACCAGCCGUCGCACCUUUGCCCCGCAACGAUGCCGGCGCCGGCGCAUCAGCGCGCGAGUAACGCUGCGACAGGGCCGAUGGGUCUUGUCUUCGCUGCCGCGUUUCGUCGCCACGUUGGCCUCUACACCGCCGCGACAGUCACCCCGACGGUCUUCUUUGAGCUGCCGUCGUGGCUGACGGGAGGCGGUGGCACUGCCCCCGCUGCCGCCACCUCGUCACCAAGCCAGUGUUCGAGUUGGUGCGUGACGUCUGUGGUGGAAGAGCCAUCCCUCGUGGCGCCAGCAGCAGUCCCGCAAACAUCAAACGGUGGUGGCAGCGGCUACUCGUACCUCGUGACGGCGAUGCAUAAUGAGCGGGGCAAGCGGCGGAGCCGUCCUUACCCGGUUCACGCAAAGGUAUCUCAUGUCGAUGAGUCAUGGCAGAGCGACGGGGACAACAACGGCAGCGGCGACGGCAGCUGCUACUGUUCGCCCCUCUCCUCGUCCGGCAGCUGCUGGUGGCUGCUGUAUGACUGCAGGAACCCGUCCCGCCCGGUGUGGGUCGCUGAAGAGGCGCUCGCGGCACCGCCCGCGCUCGACGAGGAUGACCUAUGGCACGAUGCGCCCGUAGUGACGGAGUGGCUCGCAUCGACGUCGCCCGCGUCUCACGCUAGCCUCCGCCGCAGUCCGGUGUGCGCGACAUACGUCCCGCUUGCAACGACUUCCGCGGAAGGCUCGAGUGCCCUUGGGGUGCUGUCUGCGUGCGGCGUUUGUUUAGUGCUCGAUGGUGGGGCGACGAUGCCCGACGGCGCGGGCUUGGAUGCGGAGGACGACGACGACGUGGAAGGCGAGGAGGCAGCGGACGUGUUUGCCCCCAUCAUGUAUGAGCUGUCGCCCCCACGCUCUCUGCUAUCACCAACACUCAGCGCUCAUCGGGAAGUGAUUGCGAAGCCGCCACGGGUGCGGGCGCUGACGUUCACCGACGGCGUGCUUCACUACGCGUGCGAGGAGGCGCUUUAGCUGCCGAGGUGGAUGGGGGGGGGGGGGGGAAGAGGCGGAGUCGGGUUGGAGGAGCCGAAGCAUUCUCUGUGGCACCCGCGAAAUGCCUGGCCGUCACGCCCCUCUCCCCGCCUGCCCGCCCCGCCAACCUCCGGGGGAACGCGGCGCACGCCUCUUUUCCCUCUGCCGCCAAGACGUCAGCCAAAGGCCAACGUGACGAAAUCGGAACGAUGUAGAAGACGCCAGAGGAUGGCGCGCCGUGAGCAGCCUUACCAGGUGUGUCAUGGCCGCGACCCACGUGGCGGAGAGGGGAGAGGGUGCGCCCGGACGGGGCCAUGAGGAAGUGGCAAGCGCGUCGGCUCUGCGCUGGCGGACGAAGGGAGAGGAACGGUGUCUACGUGACCUCCCCGUCGUCCACUCCCCUCCACCGCCGACUAUCCUACACGGCCGUGCUUGGGGAGGUGCCGCCAUCAUCUCCCAGCAACGCAUCGUCGUUGACUCCUCACCCCCUCCAAGCCCUUCGCCCACUUCGUGUACCUCUUCUUUUCGCUACCCCGUCCACCGCCUCCCUCACGCCAG